AUCUUUAUAGCUUAAGUUAGAGCAUAACACUGAAGAUGUUAGGGUGAAUUAUUUCUAAGGAUA
rnacentral:tRNA from 1 species